rnacentral:rRNA from 1 species
UAGGGAAUCUUCCACAAUGGACGAAAGUCUGAUGGGGCAACACCGCGUGAGUGAAGAAGGUUCUCGGAUCGUAAAACUCUGUUGUGAGGGAAGAACAAGUACCGGAGUAACUGCCGGUACCUUGACGGUACCUCAUUAGAAAGCCACGGCUAACUACGUGCCAGCAGCCGCGGUAAUACGUAGGUGGCAAGCGUUGUCCGGAAUCAUUGGGCGUAAAGCGCGCGCAGGCGGUCCCUUAAGUCUGAUGUGAAAGCCCACGGCUCAACCGUGGAGGGUCAUUGGAAACUGGGGGACUUGAGUGCAGAAGAGGAAAGCGGAAUUCCAAGUGUAGCGGUGAAAUGCGUAGAGAUUUGGAGGAACACCAGUGGCGAAGGCGGCUUUCUGGUCUGUAACUGACGCUGAGGCGCGAAAGCGUGGGGAGCAAACA